GUGUCAGCAGCCGCGGUAAGACGAAGGUGGCAAGCGUUACUCGGAAUCACUGGGCUUAAAGGGCGCGUAGGCGGCGAACCAAGUCGGGUGUGAAAUCCUUCGGCUCAACUGAAGAAUUGCAUUCGAUACUGGCUCGCUGGAGUGCGGGAGGGGAGAGUGGAACUCCAGGUGUAGCGGUGAAAUGCGUAGAUAUCUGGAGGAACGCCGGUGGCGAAAGCGACUCUCUGGACCGCAACUGACGCUGAGGCGCGAAAGCCAGGGGAGCAAACGGGAUUAGAUACCCCAGUAGUCC
rnacentral:rRNA from 1 species